rnacentral:lncRNA from 1 species
UAGUCCUUUGUGACUUGCUCGAUAGCCGAGGUUACAGAAGUGGAGGGUAAAAUGGUUAGCAUUCAUUUUCCUUAAAGGAAAUGAGGCCGAAGUCUUGUGUGAGUAGCGUUUUCUUAGCAUCGGGUGGUUGGUUACUGUUGCCUGUGAUGGGAUUUCCACCACGCAUGCUCCUCUUUCGCCUGAUGGGAUUUCCACCACGCAUGCUCGUCUUUCACCAGCUGAUGAGCCUUUUGGAAAGGCUCUUCAGAGCGUGUGGUGUGCAGGGGUUUGUUGACCUUAGUCUAUACUUACGGCUUCCCAACUGAGACCAGAAACAACAGCACCAUGGUGGGAGCAUUCGCACCGUAAGUCAAGGAAGCAAGAGGUACAAAGCCAGGCUCACUCAUAAUUAUUGUCUGCUUUCUGCAAACUGACUAGAAGCCCAGGAAAGCUAAGCUGAUCCCUUCCGAGACAGCACUGGGUGGCAUAACCGCCUUAUUCCUGGGUCCCUCCACAAUGUCACACUGAAGACCACGCCUCCAGCGCAUGUUCAAGCCAGCUCCCAACCAGAGCUGCCUCAACUUAAGACUUGUGGACUCUCCCCUCUGUGCUGCUGGAGGUACGUGAGGUCUGGGCAGAGGCAGGUAUGGAAAUCCACAAACAAUGGAUGCAACUGCAAGUGAGAACAGGCCAUUCGGACUGAAGGUGACCUUGGAGAAGGUUCUGCGAAGCCUGGCUCAUUUCCAGCCGACUGAGGAAAAGCAGGAGACUGUAUCGGUCAACAGCGGAAGUCCUCAGCUCAGCUAGAGACAGUGUUCCAGCUGCAGUCUGUUACCAGUGUUCUUCAGUCCCUCCUUUUCUCUGUGCCAGCACAGACAGACGGAGCUAAGUGACAAGGGUCUGCGCCACCCCAGGUCACAGUCACUUGUGCUCUCACCGCCCGUGUAGAUGGGGAUGCGAGGCAAGAGAGCUCCUGCAGAGGGGGCAUAGCCUUUGGUUCGAGUGGAGAGCUGUUCUUUGAAAUCUUUUCAUGCCAAAGAGAAGGGAUACAACAGAGUGCCGGCCACCAUGUCCACGCUCUCAGAAAGAGGAAUGUUCUGGAAGCAAAGCAUGGCCUGAGUGGCUCUCGAGAUGUGAGCUCAGCUAAACUAAGACUUACUUCAUCCUUCAGACCUGCAGCCUCGGAGCUUCAGAGUGAGGCCUUGAAUGGCCCCACCAAUGGGAUAAAGAAAUAAUUGCUGGUGAUUUCAGUUGCCCUGUAGGUGAGGGAUCAAUAUAUCAGAGAGGACUGCUUACCAAACUUUGUACAGGAGUCUGGAAAUUUUGACUGUGUCUCCGAAGUGUGUAACAGUUAAUAGAUAGCAGAAUGUGA